AACGUAGGUCACAAGCGUUGUCCGGAAUUACUGGGUGUAAAGGGAGCGCAGGCGGGAAGACAAGUUGGAAGUGAAAUACAUGGGCUCAACCCAUGAACUGCUUUCAAAACUGUUUUUCUUGAGUAGUGCAGAGGUAGGCGGAAUUCCCGGUGUAGCGGUGGAAUGCGUAGAUAUCGGGAGGAACACCAGUGGCGAAGGCGGCCUACUGGGCACCAACUGACGCUGAGGCUCGAAAGUGUGGGUAGCAAACAGG
rnacentral:rRNA from 1 species